rnacentral:rRNA from 1 species
AUGAUAUGUUUAGUGCAGUCAUCCAUGUCUGAUUCAGAGAAGGACUUGCAUAUGGUGUUCAUUGACUUGGAGAAGGCCUAUGAUAAGAUACCGCGGAAUGUCAUGUGGUGGGCCUUGGAGAAACACAAAGUCCCAGCAAAGUACAUUACCCUCAUCAAGGACAUGUACAAUAAUGUUGUGACAAGUGUUCGAACAAGUGAUGUCGACACCGAUGACUUCCCGAUUAAGAUAGGACUGCAUCAGGGGUCAGCUUUGAGCCCUUAUCUUUUUGCAUUGGUGAUGGAUGAGGUCACAAGGGGUAUACAAGGAGAUAUCCCAUGGUGUAUGCUCUUUGCGGAUGAUGUGGUGCUAGUUGACGAUAGUCGGACGGGGGUAAAUAGGAAGUUAGAGUUAUGGAGACAAACCUUGGAAUCGAAAGGGUUUAGGCUUAGUAGAACUAAAACCGAGUACAUGAUGUGCGGUUUCAGUACUACUAGCUGUGAGGAGGAGGAGGCUAGCCUUGAUGGCCAGGUGGUACCUCGGAAGGACACCUUUCGGUAUUUGGGGUCAAUGUUGCAGGAGGAUGGGGGUAUUGAUGAAGAUGUGAACCAUCGAAUCAAAGCCGGAUGGAUGAAGUGGCGCCAAGCUUCUGGCAUUCUCUGUGACAAGAGAGUGCCACAAAAGGUAAAAGGCAAGUUCUACAGGACGGCGGUUCGACCCGCAAUGUUGUAUGGCGCGGAGUGUUGGCCGACUAAAAGGCGACAUGUUCAACAGUUAGGUGUGGCGGAGAUGCGUAUGUUGAGAUGGAUGUGUGGCCACACGAGGAAGGAUCGAGUCCGGAAUGAUGAUAUACGAGAUAGAGUUGGGGUAGCACCAAUUGAGGAGAAGCUUGUCCAACAUCGUUUGAGAUGGUUUGGGCAUAUUCAGCGCAGGCCUCCAGAAGCUCCAGUGCAUAGCGGACGGCUAAAGCGUGCGGAGAAUGUCAAGAGAGGGCGGGGUCGACCGAUUUUGACAUGGGAGGAGUCCGUUAAGAGAGACCUGAAGGAUUGGAGUAUCGACAAAGAGCUAGCUAUGGACAGGGGUGCGUGGAAGCUUGCUAUCCAUGUGCCAGAGCCAUGA